rnacentral:rRNA from 1 species
AAUAGAUACCCCGGUAGUCCACGCCGUAAACGAUGAGUGCUAAGUGUUAGAGGGUUUCCGCCCUUUAGUGCUGCAGCUAACGCAUUAAGCACUCCGCCUGGGGAGUACGGCCGCAAGGCUGAAACUCAAAGGAAUUGACGGGGGCCCGCACAAGCGGUGGAGCAUGUGGUUUAAUUCGAAGCAACGCGAAGAACCUUACCAGGUCUUGACAUCCUCUGCCAACCCUAGAGAUAGGGCGUUCCCCUUCGGGGGACAGAGUGACAGGUGGUGCAUGGUUGUCGUCAGCUCGUGUCGCGAGAUGUUGGGUUAAGUCCCGCAACGAGCGCAACCCUUGAUCUUAGUUGCCAGCAUUCAGUUGGGCACUCUAAGGUGACUGCCGGUGACAAACCGGAGGAAGGUGGGGAUGACGUCAAAUCAUCAUGCCCCUUAUGACCUGGGCUACACACGUGCUACAAUGGAUGGUACAAAGAGCUGCGAACCCGCGAGGGUAAGCCAAUCUCAUAAAGCCAUUCUCAGUUCGGA